UUUUAAGCGCAUCGUGAGUAGGCUUUUGGAGUCUGAUCUAUCGAGCUGGGUAUGUUUGGAAAGCUACAGAGCAGUAGCCAUAGAAAGACUGCGUGAGACAGAGUCCUAGCCUAUCUGUCCGGCCAGUCGAACCUCAUGUGUUCGCUGCUUUCAUUUUCCCUUGGCUGAGGAAACGAUGGUUUGGUUUUGCAAAGGAAUGCUGGGGACUUCUGCCAGCUUGCUAACGGCCUUGCCCCAUUCAGAUGCAUCGAACUCACAGAACAUCGCUCCCCAGCUGCUGGCUCGCGGUUCUGAGAGUGCCUGAAUAGAAAACCACUCAUUUCCCUUCGCAAAAGAGGCGCCCAAAGCAGAUAUUUCAAUAUAUUCCAAUUUAGCCGAGGGAAGCCAGAACAUGGAUGUUGUUGCCAAGGAAACCACCUCCUUCCUCCUGUGUGCUGUGCAUACGUGUAUCACUUCAUCUCUCUGCUCUCCAAGCUUGAAUCUAGAUCUGACGUGGAUAUCCUGCCACAGUUCCGAAGUCUACCUAGUGCCCCAGCCGAACCUGCCCUGGCUCCUAGGUGGGGUAUGGACAUCUGUGACAUCCCUCCCCAACACCCCACCAAGCUGGGCUGCAAGACGGGUUAUGGUGGCCCCAUGACUUCCUUCCUUGGUAAGCCACAGGACUUCCUUGUUAACUGCUUUGCUGUUGGUCAUUGCAGAGAAAUAGGGAACAAUAAAAACAACCUGAGGUGUGGCAAAGGCUCUAGGACUGCAUCAUCUGCUGAAGCUCCAGUCCCUGCGCUGCAUCUCCUGAGUGGCAUCUGUGAUGGCAAACAAAGGCUCCUUGGGCUUCACGCUCUGCUUUCUUUCUAAGUGGUACUUACCACCCGCUGCAUCCCAGCCUUCUUCUGACCAGCUUCCUCUUCUGAUAGGCUUAUUUCCAUGAAGUUUUUCAGAGUUAGAAGCAUGAACUUUAGAACCAGAUGAUCCCGGUUGGAAUCCAUCUCUGGCACUUGCUAUAUGACCUUGGAUAAGUUACUUAACCUUUCUGUGUCUCAGUUUCUUUUUCUAUAAAAUGGGCAUAAUAAAAUCUAUCUAGCAUAGUUAUUGUAAGGAUUAAGUAAGUUAUUAUAUGCAGAGCUCUUGGUUCACAGUUAGUGCCAUUUAAGCCUUUCUGUCAUUCUUACUGUUACCAUUUUCCUGGCAUGUCAGUCUGAUGAUGCAGACGAGGCAGGAACUUUCGUCUCUGCCUCUCGUGGACUGCCCAAUCAGCUCCACGGAACUCAGCCAUGCCUGCAGUGCUGCAGGCCUCGCUUUGGACUGCUGGAGGCUGAGAAGUCAAUGGAUGUUGCUUGGGCAUUUUGGGGGGUUUCCUUAUGCAGGAGGAAGAUGACAAUCAUUGUGGAAGCAGAAGGUUGUCAUGGAAAUGCACCUGUUCCAAGUCAUUGCACCCUGGGCUCUGGGCUGGCUCUGCACGGGCCUGCCAUGCACUGACUUCAGCUUCAUCUGAGUCAGUGGAAGGCUGGACAAAGGUAGACAUCUUUCCUCACUGCCAGCCUGCCAUUGCGGCUUUCUGUCUCUGGUGUGAACAGGCAAUCGAGCUUUCCUGGUCUCCUGAGCUACUGUGAACGUGGCAGAAGAUAGUGGACUCUGAAUAACAUUGGAAACAACUACUUCCUGGACGGCCACUGUGUGCAUGGCCUGCGGGAGGGUGAGGGCAAGAGGACUGAUGGUUACUGGGAAUCUUCUUCAUGGCCAGGCUUCUGUGUGUCCUCUCACUUAAUCCUCCAACAGCACUGUGAGGAAAAUACAGCAUCCCACCUCACAGGCGAGGAAGCUUAAGUUGAAGGAAUGUUAAAUUGCCUGCUCUGAGCCUCACAGCCGGGAGGUGACAGCCCCAGGAUUGGCGGCCAGGCCUUCUCCACAGCCCAGCCACAGUGAGGGAGUCAUCAGCACUGGAACCCGGGGUCCACGGCCUUGGAGGAUCCGGACCCUCCGCAUUUGAGGAACUUGGCCUUCAGUCAGGGAGCCAAGAAGUCCCUGCCAAUCAAGGAGGGGGUGUGGGCUGGUGGGGGGGGGGCAGCCUUGGGGCACGGGAGCUGAUAGACCAGACUCAAGAGUUCUACUCCUGACUUCUAGAUUGUUCCACCUCCAUAUGGAAUAUGUUCCUUCCAUCUAACACUGUGUGAUUUGGGGACCAUCCAACUCAAAUGAAAGAAGCCAAGCCAUGCAGCGAGCCACCCCCUCCCCAAUGUGGGGUACCCCCUGCCCCCGCCCAGCUCCCCUGCCCUCCCAGCUGAGGGGGGAUCGCCGCCUGGUGAUCUCAGCCUCCCCUCCAAGUGGGCUGUGAAGUGUCUAAUCCAGGCUUUCAUCUGGCAUCCACAAUUAUAAUGUCAAGAUUGAAUAAUCUGCCUUUAUCUCCCGGGUGACAGCCAUGUAGAAACUUCAAAAGAAACAGUUUUGCUGGCAUCUAACGGCUUUUGUUAAUUACUAUAUCCCAAAGAAAAUGAAAUAAAGGAGGGAGAAAAAUGAUAUUUCUCUGUGACAACUUUGUAAAAAUAUCAGUGAUGAAGUGGUGCGGUUUAAGGGCUUUAAGUAUUCAUGCGGCUGAGAUGGGGCCUCUACCCUCCCGCUGGGAAGCUUAAGCGUGCCCGAGGGUGCAUGCACACACACACUCACACACUC
rnacentral:lncRNA from 1 species